UACGUAGGGUGCGAGCGUUGUCCGGAAUUAUUGGGCGUAAAGAGCUUGUAGGCGGUUUGUCGCGUCUGCCGUGAAAGCCCAGGGCUUAACCCUGGGUCUGCGGUGGGUACGGGCAGACUAGAGUGUGGUAGGGGAGACUGGAAUUCCUGGUGUAGCGGUGAAAUGCGCAGAUAUCAGGAGGAACACCGGUGGCGAAGGCGGCCUGCUGGGCAGUAGCUGACGCUGAGGCGCGACAGCGUGGGGAGCAAACAGG
rnacentral:rRNA from 1 species